GGACCCGCACAAGCAGCGGAGCAUGUGGUUUAAUUCGAAGCAACGCGAAGAACCUUACCAAGGCUUGACAUCCCCUUGACAGGUGCAGAGAUGUACCCUCCUCUUCGGAGGCAAGGGUGACAGGUGGUGCAUGGUUGUCGUCAGCUCGUGUCGUGAGAUGUUGGGUUAAGUCCCGCAACGAGCGCAACCCUUAUCCUUAGUUGCCAUCAGGAAAAGCUGGGCACUCUAAGGAGACUGCCGGUGAUAAACCGGAGGAAGGUGGGGAUGACGUCAAAUCAUCAUGCCCCUUAUGUCUUGGGCUACACACGUGCUACAAUGGUCGGAACAAAGGGGAGCUAAGGAGUGAUCCGGAGCAAAUCCCAAUAAACCGAUCCCAGUUCGGAUUGUAGGCUGCAACUCGCCUACAUGAAGUCGGAGUUGCUAGUAAUCGCGAAUCAGAACGUCGCGGUGAAUGCGUUCCCGGGUCUU
rnacentral:rRNA from 1 species